rnacentral:rRNA from 1 species
UGGGAACCUUCCCUAUGGUUCGGAAUAGCUCAGGGAAACUUGGGGUAAUACCGAAUAAGCCCUUCGGGGGAAAGAUUUAUCGCCAUUGGAUGGGCCCGCGUCGGAUUAGCUAGUUGGUGGGUAACGGCCUACCAAGGCGACGAUCCGUAGCUGGUCUGGAGAGGAUGAUCAGCCACACUGGGACUGAGACACGGCCCAGACUCCUACGGGAGGCAG